rnacentral:rRNA from 1 species
AACGAACGCUGGCGGCAUGCCUAACACAUGCAAGUCGAACGAAACCUUCGGGUCUAGUGGCGCACGGGUGCGUAACGCGUGGGAACCUGCCCUUAGGUUCGGAAUACCUCCCCGAAGGGGGUGCUAAUACCGGAUAAUGUCUUCCGACCAAAGAUUUAUCGCCUUUGGUUGGGCCCGCGUUGGAUUAGCUAGUUGGUAGGGUACAAGCCUACCAAGGCGGCGAUCCAUAGCUGGUCUGAGAGGAUGAUCAGCCGCACUGGGACUGAGACACGGCCCAGACGCCUACGGGAGGUGGCAGUGGGGAAUAUUGGACAGUGGGCGAAAGCCUGAUCCAGCAAUGCCGCGAGAGUGAUGAAGGCCUUAGGGUUGUAAAGCUCUUUUACCCGGGAUGAUAAUGACAGUACCGGGAGAAUAAGCUCCGGCUAACUCCGU